GACGAACGCCGGCGGCGUGCCUAAUACAUGCAAGUAGAACGCUGAAGCUUGGUGCUUGCACCGAGCGGAUGAGUUGCGAACGGGUGAGUAACGCGUAGGUAACCUGCCUGGUAGCGGGGGAUAACUAUUGGAAACGAUAGCUAAUACCGCAUAAGAGUAGAUGUUGCAUGACAUUUGCUUAAAAGGUGCAAUUGCAUCACUACCAGAUGGACCUGCGUUGUAUUAGCUAGUUGGUGAGGUAACGGCUCACCAAGGCGACGAUACAUAGCCGACCUGAGAGGGUGAUCGGCCACACUGGGACUGAGACACGGCCCAGACUCCUACGGGAGGCAGCAGUAGGGAAUCUUCGGCAAUGGACGGAAGUCUGACCGAGCAACGCCGCGUGAGUGAAGAAGGUUUUCGGAUCGUAAAGCUUCUGUUGUAAAGAGAAGAAACGAAGUGUGAGAAGUGGAAAG
rnacentral:rRNA from 1 species